rnacentral:lncRNA from 1 species
GGCAUGAACCUUCAGAGCCCUGAGCUGCCUUGUAAGAAGUCUAGCUAGCAAUGCCACCAUGCUGGAGAGAUGAUGAGGGAAAACUACAUACAGACACAAACAGAGUGAGACACUCAAGAAGCCCUAGUUGUGGAAUACAGCAGUGCUAUGGAGGCUUGACAUAACCAUCUACUUUUCCAGAAACCCACAUUGUCUAAGGUGAUAACAGAGGAAAUACCUGCCUGAUGCUCUCAAUGUCAUCAGUUAAACUGA